GAUGGUUCGUCUUGUACAGCGCAAUCUAUUGAAUCACUACCCAAAGUUGGGAGAGAAGGAACAACCAAUGGCUAGGUGCAACCACUUAUUCUAAUGGAAACAAAGAAGUUGUUACAUGUGCUCCUCGAUUCACAGAAUACACCACAAACAGCAAGGAAUUUUACUACUAAUUGGAAAGUGCGUCGUACUUGAAGGAAAA